rnacentral:rRNA from 1 species
AGUGAACGCUGGCGGUAGGCCUAACACAUGCAAGUCGAACGGCAGCACAGUAAGAGCUUGCUCUUACGGGUGGCGAGUGGCGGACGGGUGAGGAAUACAUCGGAAUCUACUUUUUCGUGGGGGAUAACGUAGGGAAACUUACGCUAAUACCGCAUACGACCUACGGGUGAAAGCAGGGGAUCUUCGGACCUUGCGCGAUUGUAUGAGCCGAUGUCGGAUUAGCUAGUUGGCGGGGUAAAGGCCCACCAAGGCGACGAUCCGUAGCUGGUCUGAGAGGAUGAUCAGCCACACUGGAAGUGAGACACGGUCCAGACUACUACGGGAGGCAGCAGUGGGGAAUAUUGGACAAUGGGCGCAAGCCUGGUCCAGCCAUACCGCGUGGGUGAAGAAGGCCUUCGGGUUGUAAAGCCCUUUUGUUGGGAAAGAAAAGCAGCAGGUUAAUACCCCGCUGUUCUGACGGUACCCAAAGAAUAAGCACCGGCUAACUUCGUG